rnacentral:lncRNA from 1 species
UUCCAGUUACUAGGGACCUUCCAGGCCCAGGGACUUUGGAAGCAUCCGGAGAGAUUCGGGUUCCCCAGCUGGAGACCUGAGGACAGAGCCAGCGCCUAUAAUUAGCCACAAUAACGCCCAUAAUAGUAAUUACUAAUUACCAGCUGUGUAACCAGGCUUUAUUUUCUGUGUUCAGAGUCAGAUUUUCUUCCUGGUCAUGCUCCCCCCGCCCCCCCCCCCUUAUCUCCACCCCCGACCUCACCCCACCAGUCCCUCUUACCCACAGCAACUGCUAGGACUCCUUUCCUGCGGUUCCAGCUUCUGGGGGUGGGAGGGCAGCGGGCAGAUGGGCGCUCCUGCUCUGGGAAGCCCCUGACCACAGCUUCCUCCUGCCCCCCAGCCCCCCAGCCCACACUCCCCAACCCCCUCUCUCGCCAACACCCAAAACAAACCAAUGCGCCCUGGCCACUGUCCUGUUUAGCAAGCUCCAGUGUCACGUUUCAGGAUGACAGGUAAACACAGGUAAGAUAAGGCCUCUUGUGAGACCUGAAGAGCCAGAUGGAAUGUAUGCCCAGAGAAAUUCCCGGUGUCAAGAUUGAGCCACAGGAUGAAUCACCUUCUUCCCAGCCCUACCUGCAGCUGUGUGAGCCCCUCACACCAUAGCCAUCCCAGCCUGGGGAAGAUGGAGGAAGACAGGACAGCCUUGUCCUGACCCCCAAGGGGCCCAGCAAUGCCGCCCUCCACGCUCUGGCUGUAUCUGCAUCACCUCCUUUCUGGUCCUGGAGUGAUUCAGGUUCCUGAACGCACCCGAGAGGGACCCGAGGCGAUUGGCCUCCAUCACGCCGCAGAGCUCCCUUUGGCUGGAAAGCCCGGACUCUUGGCGCCCCUCCCGGCUAGGACAUGAGCCUCGGGAGGCACCCACGCGUGUGCAGGGCCCGCGUGUGCAGACGCGGCUCCGGAGCAGGAUCCAGCCGGAAAGCCACCCCCGCUUAGCGACAGCGAGGCGAGUGUCAAACAGUCCCCGGGCAGCCGAGACUCUCUCAGGAGCGUCCAGCUCUCACCGUGGAGCCCAAGGGCUCCAGCCCGGAGCCAGCCGGGUUGGCCGGGCCACGGUGAUUCCGCAGUUCCCUCGGUCUGGACCCCUCCGGGCCGGGCCUGCGCGCUCCGGCGACUCCAGGCCCAGACCCACGCGGAGCCCGACCGAAGGUUAGCCCUGGUGCCUCCCGGCCUAGAGUAGCACCCAGCAAACGUCCAGAGCGAGCGGGACUGCCGAGACCCCGCGGCGAGACUUGCUCGCCUGCCUUGGCAGGACAAGCCCAGUGGGGCCGGCGGAGGAGAUUCCAGAAAAACCCGGGGAGAAAAAUCGCCGUGCAGCAAGGGCGGUGGGCGGCCAGAUGCUCCGGGCCAAGCCCCGCACGAACGUAGAGCGCGUGUCUGGACGGAGGGGGCCGUGAGCCCCGGGCGCCGCGAGCCUCCUGAGCCGGCCUCCGUUUCCCCCGGUGGAGACACGGACCACAGGGCCCCGGCCUGGAGUGUCGGAGGAAGCGAAUUACAUGCGUGUGCGCACAUGUCAAUAUUUUAUAAACCUCCCCUUAAUUAACCAGAUCAUUUCCAUUAUGCCUCCAACCCCAUCCACCGCAACGGUGUGAGGGUUUGCAGGCUUUAUAAUUCGAUGCCACCAGACGGUUGCUCGGGGGCAGAGGUGUGAUCGCCCGCGCCAGCUGCGCUUGUAUUUAUUUGUUUUUCUCCCGUGUUCCUGUAGGGCGCCAUUAUGCAGUUUUUAAUUAGUUUGUGUUUGUAGUUCACCCGUCCCAAAUCAAUGCCAUCCCGGAGCACGGCGAUGUAAAUUCUCGAAGUACAGGUGUAGCUGCCUGCUCGGGAACACGGGGAAGCGCGUGUCUGACAAAUGAAAGCCGGGCGGACUGUCAGCUCUCGGCAGCCAAGAGGCGCAGAUCAAAGCCAUCGGGGACUCCUGCGCCCUCGGAGCGC